rnacentral:rRNA from 1 species
GAUGAACGCUGGCGGCGUGCCUAAUACAUGCAAGUCGAGCGAACGGACGAGAAGCUUGCUUCUCUGCUGUUAGCGGCGGACGGGUGAGUAACACGUGGAUAACCUACCUAUAAGACUGGGAUAACUUCGGGAAACCGGAGCUAAUACCGGUUAAUAUUUUGAACCGCAUGGUUCAAAAGUGAAAGACGGUCUUGCUGUCACUUAUAGAUGGAUCCGCGCUGCAUUAGCUAGUUGGUAAGGUAACGGCUUACCAAGGCAACGAUGCAUAGCUCACCUCAAAGGGUGAUCCGCUACGCGGGAACUGCGUACCGGUCCAGACUCCUACAGUAGUGAGCGUUAGGUAAGCUUCCGCCAUGAGUGAAAUCGUGACCGAGCAACGCCGCGUGAGUGAUGCAGGUCUUCGGAUCGUGUAAGUCUGUUAUUAGAGAAGAACAUAUGUGUAAGUAAGUGGGCACAUCUUGACGCUACAUAAUCAGAAAGCAACGCCUAACGUCGUG